GUUCAGUUGUAUUUGUCUAGAAAAGUAUAUACAACAAAUAUAUGCUGGCAUGUAGAUAUAUGGCACGCAUUGUGCAUUAUAGAAAAUGCAUGAACACAGACACACAAGCAAAAGAAAAUAUGAGAAAGAAAUAUUGGUCUCAUAAUUAUACACAAAGUAAAGAAAGAUAAUAGGGCAGUAAUGCAAUGGAAUAAUCUCAAGAAUAUAGGAAUAAGAAUAAUAAAGAAAAUUACACAUAUAACAAAUAGACAAGUACAGUCACUUAUAAAAGUUACAUACUACCAGGCCAUGUAAAUUGAACUUAUAGAUUAUCUGAAGUACACAGUGCAGCAGGAGGUGGUCACUGGCCUCCUCCACGGUCCUGCACCAGGGGCAGUGACUCCUUGGGCAGUGAGGGUCGGGGCCAGGCGCAGGCGGUGGAGGUGAGCGCUGAGUCGUGUGUGGCCCAGGCGGAGGCGUGUCAGGUACUCCACGUGUCAAAGCGGAAUUAUAAAGUUCCAGUUGGCAACACUGCCAGGUGACAACAACAGCACACGCCGAGGCCCGAGCAGCAUCCCUUCUGGCCCUGCCCAACCAGCCCCCUAAAACACCCCAGAAGAAGAAGACGACGAAGGCUCCACACCCACGGGCCAGCGCUGGGGACCUGCUGGCCAGCGACACCCUCAGCCCCAACACUGCCAGGACAACACCUCCACCACCGCCGCCGGGAAGUCUUAACCUUCUCAUGCAGCAGAAGUAGAGCUCUCACGGGCACGUCCACCCUUGACCACGACCACGGACCCUAGGCCGCCGGUGUGUGGAGGAAAAGACAACAAGGAAAGAACGAGGACAAUAGCAACACACUCAGCUUCCGCAAAGGUUGGGGCCGCCUCACCUGCAGGGCUGGAC